GGCCCGUUCGUCUAUCGGCUAGGACACAGCCCUCUCAAGGCUGAGAGAGGGGUUCGAUUCCCCUACGGGCUGCCA
rnacentral:tRNA from 1 species